ensembl:lncRNA
CGGGGGGCGCGGCCGCCAUGUUGUCCCCGGCGUGAGGGAGCGGGAGCGGCGCCCGCCGCCCCCGGGUUAAUAAUAGAGCGGUAAAAGCUCCUUUGUGGCGGUAAUUGGCGCACGUAGCCCUGGCGCUGCCGCGUGCGAGAGCUGGCGUCAUUCCCACAGAGGCGAGGGAUGCCUCGGCUCGCCGCGGUGCUCCGGAGGGCGGGAUGGGGAUCCCUGGGAUGCGGUGCCUCCGCCCGCGGCGGCCGGGCUCGGGGCGCCGCCGCCGGAGCCUGCCCUGAGUAAACGCAAGGUCGGUCGUGUCUCGGCCGCCACCCCGCAGACCGUGUGUGUUCCUGUGCCGUGCUCAAGGCGAUGUUUUGCUGCAGAUGCUGCUUGCGGCCGGGUGGUGUUUGAGGGAAGAAUUGGAGCACCUGGGUCCCGCUUCAAGCCCCUGUAUGUCCACAGGCCUCUCCAGAGGAUGAAGAAGAAGUCUUUGGUCCAACUGAAAGUUCAAAACAAAGGAGAAUCUCUGUCUCUCUUCUUCUUUCCAGCUGUACCUUGGUAAUGAAAAGAA